rnacentral:sRNA from 1 species
AUUACUUGGAGGACUACGAAUGAACUACAAAUACUUGAUGAGAAGCCAUCACUUUGGGCUUCUCCGAAUGAGAGAAUUCUUAUAACUGGGCAUGUCCUUUACAAGGACGUAGAAGCUGAGACUGUCACAAGGAUAUUGGUUUCUAUUUGAGACGUGGUUUCUAAGGACACACAGAACCAUGCAAAGAAUUUAAACUACAUCCAUUUGAAACACAUUCUCCUUUGGAAGAAGUGAAAAGCAGAGUGGAGGUGAGGAAGUAGAAAGGACCUCACUCUCAAGGUUGCUGCAAGCUGGAGCUGAGCUGUCAGUAGAACGGGUCCUGGAAAUCAUUAAGCAAGGCGUCGUUGCGCUGCCCAAAGACAGACUGAAGGUAAGAAGGCUAAAGAAAUGUCCACUUGACACUGCCAUGUCCCUUGAUGUAAAUGUUAGUGUCUUAGCAGACCCUACCCAGAAUCAUGCUGCUUAUCCAGUACAUAGACUAGAAGGGCUCCUCAGAACUGUGACAAAGGUUUCUGACAGCUUUUCAAAAGAAGCAUUAAUACUUUCAUGCCACUGCAUAUCCUACAAGU